AUUAUUGAAAGGUGCUUGCAUCUUGAUUUAAUUUUGAACGAGUGGCGGACGGGUGAGUAACACGUGGGUAACCUGCCCUUAAGUGGGGGAUAACAUUUGGAAACAGAUGCUAAUACCGCAUAAAUCCAAGAACCGCAUGGUUCUUGGCUGAAAGAUGGCGUAAGCUAUCGCUUUUGGAUGGACCCGCGGCGUAUUAGCUAGUUGGUGAGGUAACGGCUCACCAAGGCAAUGAUACGUAGCCGAACUGAGAGGUUGAUCGGCCACAUUGGGACUGAGACACGGCCCAAACUCCUACGGGAGGCAGCAGUAGGGAAUCUUCCACAAUGGACGCAAGUCUGAUGGAGCAACGCCGCGUGAGUGAAGAAGGCUUUCGGGUCGUAAAACUCUGUUGUUGGAGAAGAAUGGUCGGCAGAGUAACUGUUGUCGGCGUGACGGUAUCCAACCAGAAAGCCACGGCUAACUACGUGCCAGCAGCCGCGGUAAUACGUAGGUGGCAAGCGUUAUCCGGAUUUAUUGGGCGUAAAGCGAGCGCAGGCGGUUUUUUAAGUCUGAUGUGAAAGCCCUCGGCUUAACCGAGGAAGUGCAUCGGAAACUGGGAAACUUGAGUGCAGAAGAGGACAGUGGAACUCCAUGUGUAGCGGUGAAAUGCGUAGAUAUAUGGAAGAACACCAGUGGCGAAGGCGGCUGUCUGGUCUGUAACUGACGCUGAGGCUCGAAAGCAUGGGGUAGCGAACAGGAUUAGAUACCCUGGUAGUCCAUGCCGUAAACGAUGAAUGCUAGGUGUUGGAGGGUUUCCGCCCUUCAGUGCCGCAGCUAACGCAUUAAGCAUUCCGCCUGGGGAGUACGACCGCAAGGUUGAAACUCAAAGGAAUUGACGGGGGCCCGCACAAGCGGUGGAGCAUGUGGUUUAAUUCGAAGCAACGCGAAGAACCUUACCAGGUCUUGACAUCUUUUGAUCACCUGAGAGAUCAGGUUUCCCCUUCGGGGGCAAAAUGACAGGUGGUGCAUGGUUGUCGUCAGCUCGUGUCGUGAGAUGUUGGGUUAAGUCCCGCAACGAGCGCAACCCUUAUGACUAGUUGCCAGCAUUUAGUUGGGCACUCUAGUAAGACUGCCGGUGACAAACCGGAGGAAGGUGGGGAUGACGUCAAAUCAUCAUGCCCCUUAUGACCUGGGCUACACACGUGCUACAAUGGAUGGUACAACGAGUUGCGAGACCGCGAGGUCAAGCUAAUCUCUUAAAGCCAUUCUCAGUUCGGACUGUAGGCUGCAACUCGCCUACACGAAGUCGGAAUCGCUAGUAAUCGCGGAUCAGCACGCCGCGGUGAAUACGUUCCCGGGCCUUGUACACACCGCCCGUCACACCAUGAGAGUUUGUAACACCCGAAGCCGGUGGCGUAACCCUU
rnacentral:rRNA from 2 species